AGAGUUUGAUCCUGGCUCAGAACGAACGCUGGCGGCGUGCCUAACACAUGCAAGUCGAACGGAGUUGAGGGGCUUGCUCCUCAAUUUAGUGGCGCACGGGUGAGUAACGCGUAGAUAAUCUGCCUGACGAUCUGGGAUAACACUUCGAAAGGGGUGCUAAUACCGGAUAAGCCCACGGGGACUUUGGUCUUUGCGGGAAAAGGGGGGGACCUUUUGGCCUUCUGUCGUCAGAUGAGUCUGCGUACCAUUAGCUAGUUGGUAGGGUAAAGGCCUACCAAGGCUACGAUGGUUAGCUGGUCUGAGAGGAUGAUCAGCCACACUGGAACUGAGACACGGUCCAGACUCCUACGGGAGGCAGCAGUGGGGAAUUUUGUGCAAUGGGCGAAAGCCUGACGCAGCAACGCCGCGUGAGUGAUGAAGGCUUUCGGGUCGUAAAGCUCUGUCGAGGGGAAAGAAGUGUAUUAUGGUUAAUACCCAUGAUACUUGACGGUGCCCCUAAAGGAAGCACCGGCUAACUCCGUGCCAGCAGCCGCGGUAAUACGGAGGAUGCAAGCGUUAUCCGGAUUCAUUGGGUUUAAAGGGUGCGCAGGCGGAGUGAUAAGUCAGUGGUGAAAGCCUACAGCUUAACUGUAGAACUGCCAUUGAUACUGUCAUUCUUGAGUAUUGUUGAGGUAGGCGGAAUGUGUCAUGUAGCGGUGAAAUGCUUAGAUAUGACACAGAACACCGAUCGCGAAGGCAGCUUACCAAGCAAUAACUGACGCUCAUGCACGAAAGCGUGGGGAUCAAACAGGAUUAGAUACCCUGGUAGUCC
rnacentral:rRNA from 1 species